UACGUAGGGUGCAAGCGUUGUCCGGAAUUAUUGGGCGUAAAGAGCUCGUAGGCGGUCUGUCACGUCGGCUGUGAAAUCCCGAGGCUCAACCUCGGGUCUGCAGUCGAUACGGGCAAACUAGAGUAUUGCAGGGGAGACUGGAAUUCCUGGUGUAGCGGUGAAAUGCGCAGAUAUCAGGAGGAACACCGUGGCGAAGGCGGCUCC
rnacentral:rRNA from 1 species